rnacentral:rRNA from 1 species
UGCGUACCUUUUGUAUAAUGGGUCAGCGACUUAUAUUCUGUAGCAAGGUUAACCGUAUAGGGGAGCCGGAGGGAAACCGAGUCUUAAUUGGGCGUUAAGUUGCAGGGUAUAGACCCGAAACCCGGUGAUCUAGCCAUGGGCAGGUUGAAGGUUGGGUAACACUAACUGGAGGACCGAACCGACUAAUGUUGAAAAAUUAGCGGAUGACCUGUGGCUGGGGGUGAAAGGCCAAUCAAACCGGGAGAUAGCUGGUUCUCCCCGAAAGCUAUUUAGGUAGCGCCUCGUGAAUUCAUCUCCGGGGGUAGAGCACUGUUUCGGCUAGGGGGCCAUCCCGGCUUACCAACCCGAUGCAAACUGCGAAUACCGGAGAAUGUUAUCACGGGAGACACACGGCGGGUGCUAACGUCCGUCGUGAAGAGGGAAACAACCCAGACCGCCAGCUAAGGUCCCAAAGUCAUGGUUAAGUGGGAAACGAUGUGGGAAGGCCCAGACAGCCAGGAUGUUGGCUUAGAAGCAGCCAUCAUUUAAAGAAAGCGUAAUAGCUCACUGGUCGAGUCGGCCUGCGCGGAAGAUGUAACGGGGCUAAACCAUGCACCGAAGCUGCGGCAGCGAACGUAUCACCCAAGACAACUUUACGGAGUUGACGAUUGACGGAGCGAAGCGACGUCAAAGCGUUCAUUAAAGUCGAGUUGGCUUAGGGAUACGUUCGUUGGGUAGGGGAGCGUUCUGUAAGCCUGUGAAGGUGUGUCGUGAGGCAUGCUGGAGGUAUCAGAAGUGCGAAUGCUGACAUAAGUAACGAUAAAGCGGGUGAAAAGCCCGCUCGCCGGAAGACCAAGGGUUCCUGUCCAACGUUAAUCGGGGCAGGGUGAGUCGACCCCUAAGGCGAGGCCGAAAGGCGUAGUCGAUGGGAAACGGGUUAAUAUUCCCGUACUUGGUGUUACUGCGAAGGGGGGACGGAGAAGGCUAUGUUGGCCGGGCGACGGUUGUCCCGGUUUAAGCGUGUAGGUGUGUGUUCCAGGUAAAUCCGGUUCACUUUAACACUGAGGCGUGA